CCUACGGGUGGCAGCAGUGGGGAAUAUUGGACAAUGGGCGAAAGCCUGAUCCAGCCAUGCCGCGUGUGUGAAGAAGGCCUUCGGGUUGUAAAGCACUUUCAGUGGGGAAGAAAGCCUUGGGGCUAAUACCCUCGAGGAAGGACAUCACCCACAGAAGAAGCACCGGCUAACUCCGUGCCAGCAGCCGCGGUAAUACGGAGGGUGCGAGCGUUAAUCGGAAUUACUGGGCGUAAAGCGCGCGUAGGCGGUCUGAUAAGCCGGUUGUGAAAGCCCCGGGCUCAACCUGGGAACGGCAUCCGGAACUGUCAGGCUAGAGUGCAGGAGAGGAAGGUAGAAUUCCCGGUGUAGCGGUGAAAUGCGGAGAGAUCGGGAGGAAUACCAGUGGCGAAGGCGGCCUUCUGGACUGACACUGACGCUGAGGUGCGAAAGCGUGGGUAGCAAACAGGAUUAGAUACCCGAGUAGUC
rnacentral:rRNA from 1 species